UCAUAUGCUUGUCUCAAAGAUUAAGCCAUGCAUGUCUAAGUAUAAGCAAUUAUACCGUGAAACUGCGAAUGGCUCAUUAAAUCAGUUAUCGUUUAUUUGAUAGUACCUUACUACUUGGAUAACCGUGGUAAUUCUAGAGCUAAUACAUGCUAAAAACCCCGACUUCGGGAGGGGUGUAUUUAUUAGAUAAAAAACCAAUGCCCUUCGGGGCUCUUUGGUGAUUCAUGAUAACUUAACGGAUCGCAUGGCCUUGCGCCGGCGACGGUUCAUUCAAAUUUCUGCCCUAUCAACUUUCGAUGGUAAGGUAUUGGCUUACCAUGGUUUCAACGGGUAACGGGGAAUUAGGGUUCGAUUCCGGAGAGGGAGCCUGAGAAACGGCUACCACAUCCAAGGAAGGCAGCAGGCGCGCAAAUUACCCAAUCCCGACACGGGGAGGUAGUGACAAUAAAUACUGAUACAGGGCUCUUUUGGGUCUUGUAAUCGGAAUGAGUACAAUUUAAACCCCUUAACGAGGAACAAUUGGAGGGCAAGUCUGGUGCCAGCAGCCGCGGUAAUUCCAGCUCCAAUAGCGUAUAUUAAAGUUGUUGCAGUUAAAAAGCUCGUAGUUGAACCUUGGGCCUGGCUGGCCGGUCCGCCUCACCGCGUGUACUGGUCCGGCCGGGCCUUUCCUUCUGGAGAACCCCAUGCCCUUCACUGGGCGUGUGGGGGAACCAGGACUUUUACUUUGAAAAAAUUAGAGUGUUCAAAGCAGGCCUUUGCUCGAAUACGUUAGCAUGGAAUAAUAGAAUAGGACGUGCGAUCCUAUUUUGUUGGUUUCUAGGACCGCCGUAAUGAUUAAUAGGGACAGUCGGGGGCAUCAGUAUUCAAUUGUCAGAGGUGAAAUUCUUGGAUUUAUUGAAGACUAACUACUGCGAAAGCAUUUGCCAAGGAUGUUUUCAUUAAUCAGUGAACGAAAGUUAGGGGAUCGAAGACGAUCAGAUACCGUCGUAGUCUUAACCGUAAACUAUGCCGACUAGGGAUCGGGCGAUGUUCUCUCUUGACUCGCUCGGCACCUUACGAGAAAUCAAAGUUUU
rnacentral:rRNA from 1 species